ensembl:lncRNA
AGUUAACCCAAGCUGCUUGCUUCCUAAGGAAAGACAGUUGUGAGCAGUUGAGUCAUAAGGCAGACUCAAGGCAAUAGCUCUGCUUCCUUUGUUAAAGUACUGGUGCUUUCAGUUGCUGUAGCCUGUGGCUCAGCAGAGAAAGUAACUGCAGGAUGAUAGUACUGAGCAGAUCAUAAUGAAAUCCUAAGCAGGCAGAGAACCUCCUAAAAACCAGCAUCCAUUGUCCCUGAGGCCCUGAGCUCUGACAGGUGGUGGAUUGCCUUUCUGCUGGUGUUCAGAUGCCUGCAGUGCAGGAACCAGUAAAGAAGGCAUUCUGCUCCAGCCUGGGGCUACCAGAGAUGGAAUACAGCCUGCUGAUCCCAGCCUUGCAACUCUGGAUGUUACGUACUUCAGACUGAUUAUGGUUUCAGUAGAAACCACACAGAGUGCAGUAUUCACAUGGCCAACUUCCCUGUUAAAGAAAGGAUUGUUCGAUUCACCAUGCACAGUACGACUGGUCAAAAUUAUCUGUGGCUGAACUCCUCCUCACUCAGCAUCUCCUAGGUGACGGUGACUGCACGUACUCCAACGUAUUUUAAAAUAAAAUAUCCCAUGGUUACAAUUACCAGUUGAAUUAUGAGGAUAAUGGCAGUGUUUGGUAU